AAAAAGAACAAGGUUUCCGUAGGUGAACCUGCGGAAGGAUCAUUAACGAAUAACUAUGGCGUUGGUUGUAGCUGGCUCCUCGGAGCAAUGUGCACGCCCGCCAUUUUUAUCUUUCCACCUGUGCACCGACUGUAGGUCUGGAUACCUCUCGCCUCCGGGCGGAUGCGAGGGUUGCUCGUAAGGGCUUCCCUUGAACUUCCAGGCUCUACGUCUUUUUACACACCCCAAUAGUAUGAUGCAGAAUGUAGUCAAUGGGCUUCUCAGCCUAUAAAACACUAUACAACUUUCAGCAACGGAUCUCUUGGCUCUCGCAUCGAUGAAGAACGCAGCGAAAUGCGAUAAGUAAUGUGAAUUGCAGAAUUCAGUGAAUCAUCGAAUCUUUGAACGCACCUUGCGCUCCUUGGUAUUCCGAGGAGCAUGCCUGUUUGAGUGUCAUUAAAUUCUCAACCUCACCAGUUUUCUGAACUGACUGAGGCUUGGAUGUGGGGGUUUGUGCAGGCUGCCUCACCGGCGGUCUGCUCCCCUGAAAUGCAUUAGCGAGGUUCAUGCUGGACCUCCGUCUAUUGGUGUGAUAAUUAUCUACGCCGUGGACGAGGAUACAGACUCGCUUCUAACCGUCCGCGAGGACAAUACCUUGACAAUUUGACCUCAAAUCAGGUAGGACUACCCGCUGAACUUAAGCAUAUCAA
rnacentral:rRNA from 1 species